UACGUAGGUGGCAAGCGUUGUCCGGAUUUACUGGGCGUAAAGAGCGCGCAGGCGGUCGUUCAAGUCGCGUGUGAAAGCCCCCGGCUCAACUGGGAGGGUCACGCGAUACUGAUCGACUGGAAGGCAGGAGAGGGUAGUGGAAUUCCCGGUGUAGUGGUGAAAUGCGUAGAUAUCGGGAGGAACACCAGUGGCGAAGGCAGCUCUCUGGACGGUACUGACGCUGAGACGCGAAAGCGUGGGGAGCGAACAGG
rnacentral:rRNA from 1 species